rnacentral:rRNA from 1 species
AGAGUUUGAUCCUGGCUCAGAUUGAACGCUGGCGGCAGGCCUAACACAUGCAAGUCGAACGGUAACAGGAAGAAGCUUGCUUCUUUGCUGACGAGUGGCGGACGGGUGAGUAAUGUCUGGGAAACUGCCUGAUGGAGGGGGAUAACUACUGGAAACGGUAGCUAAUACCGCAUAACGUCGCAAGACCAAAGAGGGGGACCUUCGGGCCUCUUGCCAUCGGAUGUGCCCAGAUGGGAUUAGCUAGUAGGUGGGGUAACGGCUCACCUAGGCGACGAUCCCUAGCUGGUCUGAGAGGAUGACCAGCCACACUGGAACUGAGACACGGUCCAGACUCCUACGGGAGGCAGCAGUGGGGAAUAUUGCACAAUGGGCGCAAGCCUGAUGCAGCCAUGCCGCGUGUAUGAAGAAGGCCUUCGGGUUGUAAAGUACUUUCAGCGGGGAGGAAGGGAGUAAAGUUAAUACCUUUGCUCAUUGACGUUACCCGCAGAAGAAGCACCGGCUAACUCCGUGCCAGCAGCCGCGGUAAUACGGAGGGUGCAAGCGUUAAUCGGAAUUACUGGGCGUAAAGCGCACGCAGGCGGUUUGUUAAGUCAGAUGUGAAAUCCCCGGGCUCAACCUGGGAACUGCAUCUGAUACUGGCAAGCUUGAGUCUCGUAGAGGGGGGNUAGAAUUCCAGGUGUAGCGGUGAAAUGCGUAGAGAUCUGGAGGAAUACCGGUGGCGAAGGCGGCCCCCUGGACGAAGACUGACGNUCAGGUGCGAAAGCGUGGGGAGCAAACAGGAUUAGAUACCNUGGUAGUNCACGCCGUAAACGAUGUCGACUUGGAGGUUGUGCCCUUGAGGCGUGGCUUCCGGAGCUAACGCGUUAAGUCGACCGCCUGGGGAGUACGGCCGCAAGGUUAAAACUCAAAUGAAUUGACGGGGGCCCGCACAAGCGGUGGAGCAUGUGGUUUAAUUCGAUGCAACGCGAAGAACCUUACCUGGUCUUGACAUCCACGGGAAGUUUUCAGAGAUGAGAAUGUGCCUUCGGGAACCGUGAGACAGGUGCUGCAUGGCUGUCGUCAGCUCGUGUUGUGAAAUGUUGGGUUAAGUCCCGCAACGAGCGCAACCCUUAUCCUUUGUUGCCAGCGGUCCGGCCGGGAACUCAAAGGAGACUGCCAGUGAUAAACUGGAGGAAGGUGGGGAUGACGUCAAGUCAUCAUGGCCCUUACGACCAGGGCUACACACGUGCUACAAUGGCGCAUACAAAGAGAAGCGACCUCGCGAGAGCAAGCGGACCUCAUAAAGUGCGUCGUAGUCCGGAUUGGAGUCUGCAACUCGACUCCAUGAAGUCGGAAUCGCUAGUAAUCGUGGAUCAGAAUGCCACGGUGAAUACGUUCCCGGGCCUUGUACACACCGCCCGUCACACCAUGGGAGUGGGUUGCAAAAGAAGUAGGUAGCUUAACCUUCGGGAGGGCGCUUACCACUUUGUGAUUCAUGACUGGGGUGAAGUCGUAACAAGGUAGCCGU